CACCCAGAGUUUUGUCUGAUACUGUUAAACAUUUAGAAGGUGAUAGUAAACAAAGGUAUGUGGAAAAAUUAAAGGCACUUGGCAUAGAGGACACAUAUUUAAUGCCGAAGUUGAUUUUUUUUGCCGAUAAGAAAGUGGACUGUUAACCCGCUUCCGCUUGUCUUGGACGACUGGAUGUACACAUGUAUCUGUGUAACAGAAAUGCACCCACCUGUCGUGAGCAAGGCUGGACCACGGCCAAGCGGGGCAUGGACUGGCCACCACUCCGAGCAGUUUCAUCUCUGACAACUGUCGCUCGUCACAGCUGUGUCACAUGAGGCACUGUGAUUAGACAAUAGUAAUGCAUUUGGGUCCGCCUGUGCACCAUUGGUUCGGGACAGAAUGAACGAGUUCCAGCAACAGUCAAGCCUCAUCCGAUCUCCGCCGGAACUUCGCCGACAACCAAGCCACAGCAGCAUCCCGUUUCCGCUCCAGCGACGGCCAAGUCUCUGGCGACCCACCCCCAACGCUUCAGUGGGAACUGAGCCCCCGGGAAAUUGCGGAUAUUUCGGACGGGAUUCAGCGGCAAUUGGACAUUCUCGUCCCGGGAUGGCCACCGCUGUUUUGAGCCCGUGCGGCAGUGAUGAGUGACCGGCUGCCGAGCCAUGCCCACGUCGCGCCUCACGUUUCUGCCCAGGCGGCAACUCGUCAGCCACCUCACAUUCCUGCCCAGGUUGCGGCGGCAAGUCGUCUCCCGCCUCACGUUCCUGCUCAUGCUUUCCCGCAUCCAGGGUUACUCCGCCACUAUGCUAUUGUAGCCCAGUCACGCUUUGGUUAUGCUCUUUAGUUGACUCGUAGUUAUCGGACAUUGUUUCUUGUGUUUUGGAUCCUGCCUUCUUGGAAUGUGUUGUCGUGCACAACUUUCAUUUAUAAUAAAACCCACUGACUCGCGAA